UUAGAUUGUAAAUGGUGGAGCUGGGGUCAGAAACCAGGUUUUCUGAAUCCUACAUAAUGAACUCUGUGGUCAGCUUUCAUAAAAUGUUUGCAAGUAAAGGCUCAUUGCUUGCCAUUUCCUAUAUAUAUAAAAUAGUAAGAUCUACCUUUUUAGAUCGUUCAUCUGAAAUGUAACUUACAGGUUACCGGGAAGCAAGAUUUGGAACUUACGAAGAAGGAGGAGGCGGAGGAAGAGGAGGAAAUGGAGAAGAGGAAGAAGAAGAAAGGGAGAGGAAGAAGAAUGGCCCACCUUUGAUUGUUACUCUCUUCCUUACAUAACCCCUACAACUAUUCAUUAGGGAUAUGUUUCUUUUCCCCUCAUUUUACAGAUGAAUGAAGAGAGGGUCAGGUAGCUUUCCAGAGUCACUCAACCAAUAGGUUUCAGAACAAGGAUUACAUGGAGGUUUGUUUGAUCCAAGUCCCGCGUUCUUCCCUUCUCCCGAAUGCAGGCUCAGCUACUGACAGGACCGCCCCAAUUAUAAGUGCUGAUCCACCCCAUUCUCGCAGACCUGCCCCAAUGCAGAGAAUCUAAGUAAAGACAAUGAAGCCACAGCCUAACACAUGCAAAUAUAUUCUCACCUGGGAAAGACGUGAGCUUCCUGUUUGAUAUGCUGUAUAAUCUUGGUUAAGAUCCCCCUUCACAUUCUUCCUCUGUUAACAAAGAAUGACAAUACCAGGGCCAUCCUCAUAACCAUUUACCUCUACUUCACCUCCCUGAGAGCCUGCCACUGAAGACACAGACCACUGACCAGACGAGUGGACAUUUUCCCCUUUGUUUAAUACCCCAGAAUGAGAGAUGUCAUGUAAUUCCAGUUACUACCGAAUUAACUAGAGUGGAUAAUAUUUUUCAUAUUACAGGCCUGAAGGCAGACACCAAAAUCCAAUGCUAGCACAGAUAGUGUUAUUUUGAAAUACUCAUGCACAAUACAGCAUAUUUCCCAGCAAAUAGAUUGGUUGUUCUUACCAGCUUUGUGUCAUCUUCAAAACAUACCAGAGGCAUUAAUCCAUAUUAUGGACUUGGAACUUUCUUUUUUCUGCUGAAAGCCUGACUUAUUUUCAAAUUAUAAAACUUAAAAGUGCCUGAAACCACAAACUUUUUUUUUUUUUUUUUGGCACUCAUAACUGAAAAAGAGCUGAAAUUUCCCCCCAAGAUUUUUAUAAGGAAUUUGCUCUUAGACUGAUGCUUGUUAACUGGAGUUCUUUUUCUUUUUUCUGACCAACUUUUAAUUUCCUGAAAAUUAGGGCUUAUGCUGGAGCAUAUGAGAAGGCACUAACAAAUCCUAAUCUGGGAUAAUGAGCUAGGUAGGUAAAUGAGUACGUGUCUACUACCAAAAGGUAAGAAUGUCCACAGAACUUUUUUCUUUCCCAAUUAAGUAUAGAUGAGAUUAUCAGAACAGGCAGCAGUAUUCCUUUAGUAAUUAUGCUAGACUAGCAGUCUAAAUUUAUUUUGCUGAAUAUUCUUUUUAAUAACAAUGUCUAUUAAAGACAUCUGUUGAAAGUCCAUAAUGCUUAUUUCAUGGAUAGACAGCAUAAGAGCGUGCUUUAAGAAUUCUGUUUUCAGUUUAAUGUUAUGGGCUGUUAAGGAGAAGGUUUAUGGGUGUAACAUUAUUAGUUGGAAUUUGACUCAAAUUGAAAUCAGGCCCAAGAAUUUACUUAUCCAUAAUAUUAUGAAGGGCUUUUUAAAACAUUAAAAAGUUUAACUAAACAAGAAUAUUCGUAUAAUUUAAUGCUUUACCUGCAGUUCUCAAGGCCAUUCAAAACACUCCCUGAUCACCAGAUUUCAAAUUCAUGUCAGCCUCUCUCUCUCUCACACUACAAAGCUUUUAAAAAUCAGAGAUUUUAUUACAUCGGGUCAGUAUUUUAACUGCGAGAGAGAAAGAGACAUAUACUUGCUGAAUUGUUUGACUAUGGAUGAAAAAGGGAAAAAAAAACCAUAUGUCACGCACCCUUUGUUAGGAUCUGAGGUGCUAGCUGAGCCAUGGGGAUGGUGGCGGAAUGGUGAGGCACAGGGGUUUCAGCCCAGGUGUGGCCUGGACAGGAGCCACCAUCCUAAUACCAUUGCCAAGUAGAAAUGAAUCACCCUACCCAUUGGCUAGGCUUAGCAUCCCUGUAAUUUCAUUUUAAAACCUCAAUGAUCAAGAUUAAAAGAAAGCAAUAAAACAUAUCACAUUUUUACUCGUGCAGUUUGAAGAGCCCCCCAUGCUCCAUGUCUAUAGCCUUGACACUUCUUUUGGCAUCGCUAUUAGUGACAUGAGGAGUAAUUCACCACUGUCAGGGAAUUUGGCUGUUUCAUCACCUACAUGAGAGACCUGCAUAACUCCGUGUUGAUUGCUGUCCAAAUGAAUUAUGCGGCUCCUUCAUGCACUUUUUGAUUGAACAGUGAUAACUCAGAUAAUACAUUAUCCCGUGCCCCUCUCUGAGAGGAACCUGCUAUUUUUUUUCUUACAGAGCAGUGAAAGAAAGACCUCACAGAGGCAUUUAAAGUGACAUCACCAUGCCAACCCCAACUCACUGCAACCAGUGAGAAGCAACUGCUAGACCAGAUUAAAUACAAUGAAGUGAAAUAGAUCUUCAACUUACAGCUAAACUUCAGUUCAAGGUCUGCAAGCCACCCUUGCUUCUGGCCUUCUAGAACUCCAGAGGGAAGCAGCGCACCAAGCUGCUACAUCGUCCUGUGAAAAGCUCCUUCAGAACCUACUUUCUAUGACUUCGGAGCACUGGGAUGUUAGUGAUGUCAUCAAUCUGCCACACAGGCCUUGCAUUCCAAAGCCUUCAGAAUGCUUUCACGCUCUUUAUUUUCAUUUCUUUCUCACAACCCAGCAGACUUCCCAGGUAGUAUUGGGUCCGAGGUGAACCUGGACUUGGCAGGAGUUAAACACCUGUUCAGGGAGGCGAGGUUGUCAGGAGCAAAGUCCUUGUUGGAACAAAGAUCUUCUUACUCCAAUCCUGUUUUCUUUUCCUUUGUAACAUGCUCUGUCUACACCAGAGAGUAUUUUCACGUAUGGCAUUGCCUGAGAUUAUGUUCAGAUUGUCUCUGAGGUCCGGAAUCUAAGCGGCCCACCAAGCUCCUCCAUGAACAGAAAUGAUUUGCAGAGCCUUCCUCUGCACAGACAGCGAAUUUCCCAGGCUGGGUCUGCAGCCCCAGAGCUGGGUCAUAACUGGACAAAGUCUUUUUUUUUUUUUUUAAGAUUUUAUUUAUUUAUUUGAGAGAGACAGAGGUAGCAAGAGAGAGCACGAACAGGAAGGAGAGGGAGAAGCAGGCUUCCCGCCGAGCAGGAAGCCCGAUGCGGGGCUCGAUGCCAGGACCCUGGGAUCAUGACCUGAGCCGAAGGCAGAGGUUUAACCGACUGAGCCACCGAGGCACUCCAUAACUGGACAAAGUCUUAGGAGCCUUGGAGAUGAUGCAAAACAUCAAGUACUGGGGUCCAGCUUGCAUGCUAACCUCUAAAUCUCACCCUUCUACCUGUUACCCAUAGUUUGAAAUAUUUUUAUCUAUAAAACAAACCCCUUUAAAAAUGUAUAGGUCUUAUGGCCUUAUCUUACAUAAAUGAAUGCCCUAUCAGGCUUUACCCUGCAAGAGCUCAUGGCCCUCCAUCAUUCUUCCCAGGACUGUUAUACGUCUGCAGCCCAGGGCCUGGGAUCCACAGCGGUCCCUUGGCGUUUGAAGAGUUUCGAUUGACUGCUUGAAUUACUCCAGAGAGACCCUGGGGACCCUUGACUUAUACCGAUUUGUAGUGUAGCUGAGACAAAUUUGAUUAAAGUGAGCUGCAAGGUUGGAAACUGGACACCCAGAUACUUGAGCUGCUGAAUGAACCUCACCAACAGCUCAUGGUCUGAACCUUGGAGCAGUUUCACCCCCUCUUUCUAUUCUCAAGCAAAAUUAUGGGAGAUGUUAUAUCUAAAGUGGUAUUUACUGAUUUGGGGAUUUACAAAGGCCUUGGGGAUCCUUCUCGGAUGCCGGAAGUCUGCUCUAGCCGUCCACAACAUUCUUCGAAUGAAAAACACAGAAUAUAAUAUAUGUAUACAUGUAGAUAGAACACAGACAAAAGAUUGCCAUGGACUACUCAGAUAUGAAUGAAAUUGUAUUUACUUGGUAUGAUUAGAACAGUGGUUCCCACCUAGGGUUAAUUUUUGCCCCCAGGGACUUUGGAGAAGACCUAGAUAUAUUUUUGGUUGUUGCAACUAACUGGAAGGGAUGUAUGGGGUGGUCCUCUACUGGACCUCUACUAAUCAUCCUACAGUGCCUAAGGCAGCUCUCAACAACAAAUUGUCCUGUACAAAAUGUCACUGGAGCCAAGGUUGAGAAACCCAGAAUUAAAGUGAUAUUUUCUCUAUUGUUCCCAAAUUUUAUGGCAUUUUCAUAAUAUAUACAUUAUUACAUAAUGUCAUUGUGUUUAGGUUUUCUUUUUUUUCUUCUAGUAAGCUUUGUCAUCCUAAUAGCAAGCCAUAUCAUCCUUAUUUUCUGGAGAAUUUCUUUUAUGACUUAAGUCACGACCUCAGUC